GACGAACCGUGCAAACGUUAUUCGGAAUCACUGGGCUUAAAGCGUGCGUAGGCGGCUCAGAAAGUUGGGUGUGAAAUGCCUCGGCUCAACCGAGGAAUUGCGCUCAAAACUACUGAGCUUGAGGGAGUUAGAGGAGAGCGGAACUCACGGUGGAGCGGUGAAAUGCGUUGAUAUCGUGAGGAACACCGGUGGCGAAAGCGGCUCUCUGGGGCUCUUCUGACGCUGAGGCACGAAAGCUAGGGGAGCAAACGGG
rnacentral:rRNA from 1 species